rnacentral:rRNA from 1 species
GCGGCGUGCCUAACACAUGCAAGUCGAACGGGAAUCUUCGGAUUCUAGUGGCGGACGGGUGAGUAACGCGUAAGAAUCUAACUUCAGGACGGGGACAACAGUUGGAAACGACUGCUAAUACCCGAUGUGCCGCAAGGUGAAACCUAAUUGGCCUGAAGAAGAGCUUGCGUCUGAUUAGCUAGUUGGUGGGGUAAAGGCCUACCAAGGCGACGAUCAGUAGCUGGUCUGAGAGGAUGAGCAGCCACACUGGGGACUGAGACACGGCCCAGACUCCUACGGGAGGCAGCAGUGGGGAAUUUUCCGCAAUGGGCGAAAGCCUGACGGAGCAACGCCGCGUGAGGGAGGAAGGUCUUUGGAUUGUAAACCUCUUUUCUCAAGGAAGAAGUUCUGACGGUACUGGAGGAAUCAGCCUCGGCUAACUCCGUGCCAGCAGCCGCGGUAAUACGGGGGAGGCAAGCGUUA